CCUCUCCUCUUUCCCUUCCAUUUGUGGACGACUGUUGUACCCUCUUUCACCAUCACAGACUUUGCUACUCCAUUCUCGUGCAACACUCUCCUCUAUCUCAUCCCUUUCCUCUUCCAAACAAGAAACCAUUUGUUUUCAGCCAUGGCAGAUUUUUGCCUUGCCAUUUUUUCUUAUAUACGAUCUGGUCAACACAAAUGGCCAAAAAACUUUUGAAAUUUCUGAAAAGAGAUCAACUUUAAAGAUUUGAUUCUGAUUUCAAACGGAUAUCACUCCAGAUCCCGCCCAAAAACAAGUGGAAAACCCUAGGGUUUUGUCUACUAUAUAUAUACGGCCUUAAGUCCACAGCAAGGGGGGACGAUACAAUAGCUGCACAUAUUUUUCAAAAUCUUUUAUCUUCUAAGAUUACCCCCUUUAAUCUCAGUUUUUGCUUUAGUCGUAAUAGAGAUUUAGAAUGCAUUUGGGUUUCGAGUUUUGAAUCUAAUCAUAACGAGAGAGUAGAUUCGACGCCGACGACCUCAGUUCACUACACCCGCGAGAGCGAAUGGAGUCUUCAUAAAGACUCAUUAUCCGAACAGUCUCAUUUUGAGAUUCUGCGGCAUUUGUACCUUGCAUGCACAUUCCCAUUCAGCUCUCAUUCUCUCGACAUUCAUCUGAACAGAAUACAAAGAGAGUGGCUAGCCAAACGGCGAACCACUGGAAACUUUACUUUUCUAUGGGAGCCAAAUAUGGCUUUAGUCGUCUUAUUUUCAUUCUCUGAUGCUUGUUUAUACGUUUGGUGUGAUUAACAUUUUACCUAACUGUGCGAUUAUGAUAAAUACUUAAUUGCUUAGUUUAA